rnacentral:tRNA from 1 species
AACGUUGCGCCGGAAUGAGCGGAUUAUAUUGAUGUUAUAAAAAAUAAGAUUUUUUUCACAAAUCUUCUACGUUU